CAAAAGGUGAAGAGGCUCCAAGAAGCCUAAGCCUGACCCUCACCCUUGGGUGUUUUCUCCACUUGGAGACUCAGUUAACAGACACGCGCACACACCCGAGGAGGCGCGCCUCAGGGAGCAGUUCUUCAAGGCUGCAAAGCUGAGUGUUGAGGGACUCUCGUAAGAUUCACAGUUGGGUGAUGCUCGACAAGGUGACUGGGGAGGUUGCAAUAGCCUGCACCUGUAACUGUCAGUUUCCAGAAGGUGGCACAGGUGCCUCCCCCAACCCCCGAGGUCGUAAGGUCUUAACUGGGAAUCUCAGUGCUAGGAGUGCGUUACCUCCCCUGGGGUUGUUGGCUACAGAAGCCCUACAGGCCACUGAAACACGGGCCAUGGCCACUGUUGCUGGUUGCAUUCGGAGCUGCUGGUGAGACCCUGUUGCUGAGGUUGACAGUGUGGCCGCUGGACUUGGAGAAAUAAAUCUAGGAUGGGCCCGAAGCGUGCCCUGCCAGCGAGCUAACUCCUGUAAGUGUCAGCAGAUGCUAGGAACUGUGCCGGGGAGGAAUUAAGGGCUAAAGACGUAUCCAGCUGUGGGUCCUGCAGUCUUCACAAUGGAAGUGCCAGCUAGUGCAAUAGCGGUGCCAGCGGUUAUGAUGGACCGAAGGCUCGCUCCACAGGAGGUUGCUCCUGGCAAUCAGGCCAAACCCUGUGACCAGGGAGUCACCAGCUCCAGCAGGGAAGCAACUGCCCUGGAUUGGAUGAGGAUUUUUCAAGAGGACCAGAGAAGCAUGUGAGCCGUGCUGACUGAAGCCCUCCACCUCCACCUUUAUCCCUGUCUAAAGUGGGGGCCCCCGGUAGGUCUCGUCUAUGGACAGACAGCUUGAAUUCUAGGGGCAGAUCCCAACAGACUCCUGCGCAGCAGCUCUUUCCUCCCAGCUCGCCACCAUACUAAGGUGCCCAGUGCCAUCCUUGCUGCGCUGCCCUUUAACAGCAGACGGGAGCCAUGGCCUCAGGCACCUCCUGUGCUAUGUAACAAUCAGUGUAAAAACAACCAGGACAAGGUAAUCCAGCAGCUUCCCCGGGGUUUCAGUUCAGACUCUAUGGUGAGAGAGGAUCAUGGUGGGGUAGACUCAUGACAAGACCGACAAGCACUGAAGAACAAACUGUGAAGAACUCACGGUGAUGCUGUUUCCAAAUGGCCUCAUUCUCCACAGCUUGAGCACAAGCUUCUCAAGAGAAGCCCCGAAUCACAAACUCUGGGGACUU